rnacentral:rRNA from 1 species
GGCGUUGUCGUCAGCUCGUGUCGUGAGAUGUUGGGUUAAGUCCCGCAACGAGCGCAACCCUUGUCUUUAGUUGCCAUCAUUUAGUUGGGCACUCUAAAGAGACUGCCGGUGUUAAACCGGAGGAAGGUGGGGACGACGUCAAGUCCUCAUGGCCUUUAUGCCCAGGGCUACACACGUGCUACAAUGGGCGGUACAAAGGGUCGCAAACCUGUGAAGGGGAGCUAAUCCCAAAAAGCCGUCCUCAGUUCGGAUCGGAGUCUGCAACUCGACUCCGUGAAGUUGGAAUCGCUAGUAAUCGUGGAUCAGCAUGCCACGGUGAAUACGUUCCCGGGCCUU